rnacentral:rRNA from 1 species
GGUUUAAUUCGAUGACAAACCGAAGAACCUUACCGUGGGUUUGACAUGUACGUGGUACGGAUAUAGAAAGUUGAAGGACUCCGCUUUCGGGUGGAGAGCGUACACAGGUGCUGCAUGGCUGUCGUCAGCUCGUGUCGUGAGAUGUUGGGUUAAGUCCCCGCAACGAGCGCAACCCCUGCAUUCAGUUGCCAUCGGGUGAAGCCGGGCACUCUGGAAGGACUGCCAUCGACAAGAUGGAGGAAGGUGGGGACGACGUCAAGUCAUCAUGGCCCUUAUGUCCAGGGCGACACACGUGCUACAAUGGCCGGCACAACGGGAAGCGAGUUCGCGAGGACGAGCGGAUCCCUUAAAGCCGGUCUCAGUUCGGAUUGCAGUCUGCAACUCGACUGCAUGAAGUUGGAAUCGCUAGUAAUCGCGGAUCAGCCAAGCCGCGGUGAAUACGUUCCCGGGCCUU